rnacentral:sRNA from 1 species
UAAACCAAAUUUGUGUUACCCUCACAGA